rnacentral:rRNA from 1 species
AGGGCACCACCAGGAGUGGAGCCUGCGGCUUAAUUUGACCCAACACGGGAAAACUCACCCGGCCCGGACACUGGAAGGAUUGACAGAUUGAGAGCUCUUUCUUGAUUCAGUGGGUGGUGGUGCAUGGCCGUUCUUAGUUGGUGGAGUGAUUUGUCUGGUUAAUUCCGAUAACGAACGAGACUCUAGCCUACUAAAUAGAUCGUCGGCUUACAAACGCCGGCGAGACUUCUUAGAGGGACAGGCGGUGAUUCAACCGCACGAAACAGAGCAAUAACAGGUCUGUGAUGCCCUUAGAUGUCCGGGGCCGCACGCGCGCUACACUGAAGUGAUCAGCGUGCUUUUUCAACCUACUCUGUCAAGAGUGGGGAACCCAAUGAACCUUCUUCGUGAUUGGGAUAGGGGAUUGUAAUUAUUCCCCUUGAACGAGGAAUUCCCAGUAAGCGCGAGUCAUAAGCUCGCGUUGAUUACGUCCCUGCCCUUUGUACACACCGCCCGUCGCUACUACCGAUUGAAUGUUUU